GAGGCAUACGAGAUGAAGCAUCUACCCUUCUGUGACCUACCUAUCGUUGCUUCGGCGGACUCGCCCCAGCCCGGACGCGGACUGGACCAGCGGCCCGCCGGGGACCUCAAACUCUUGUAUUCCAGCAUCUUCUGAAUACGCCGCAAGGCAAAACAAAUGAAUCAAAACUUUCAACAACGGAUCUCUUGGCUCUGGCAUCGAUGAAGAACGCAGCGAAACGCGAUAAGUAAUGUGAAUUGCAGAAUCCAGUGAAUCAUCGAAUCUUUGAACGCACAUUGCGCCCGCCAGCAUUCUGGCGGGCAUGCCUGUUCGAGCGUCAUUUCAACCCUCGACCUCCCCUUGGGGAGGUCGGCGUUGGGGACCGGCAGCACACCGCCGGCCCUGAAAUGGAGUGGCGGCCCGUCCGCGGCGACCUCUGCGCAGUAAUACAGCUCGCACCGGAACCCCGACGCGGCCACGCCGUAAAACACCCAACUUCUGAACGUUGACCUCGAAUCAGGUAGGACUACCCGCUGAACUUAAGCAUAUCAAUAAGCGGAGGA
rnacentral:rRNA from 1 species